rnacentral:rRNA from 1 species
AUGCAAGAGCUAGGGCUCAAGGAAGAGGAUCUGGACGACGUAGUUUUCGAUGAGGCUGACAUCCCUGAAGACGCAGCUCGCUGGGUUGCUAUCGCGAAGGUGAACUCUGUGAAAACCUACAGCCAGACUUGGUUUUUUUGCAACAUGAGAUCUGCCUGGGACCUUGCCCAGGAGGUCAAAUUCAGGCCUUUGGAAGAUAAUCUGUACACUAUCCAAUUUUCUUGCCUGGGUGAUUGGGAGAGGGUGAUGCAAGAAGGGCCUUGGCACUUCAGGGGAGAUGCUGUCAUUAUCAAACCAUAUGAUGGGGUGACGAAACCGACUACUAUCAAGUUGGAUACAAUUAAUAUCUGGAUCCAGAUCCAUGACGUCCCCGACUUGGUUGCUCACCUCAUUGAACCGCUUGCUGCCAGGGUUGGAGAAGUUUGUUUGCUGAACCUCCUUCAUAGGAUUUUGCUGGAAAUUUCCAUCGUGUUUGGGUUAGAAUCGAUGUGA